ensembl:lncRNA
AUACUCUGCUUCUUUUCUUCUUCUUCUUUUUUUCGUACAAAUGCUAGAUUUUUUAAAAAAACUGAUUUUGUAUGCUAAAACGUGUACAUUAUUUGAACGAUUGAUUUGACAUCCCGAGUGUUUUCCCGCUGUGUGUGGAGUUUAAAGACGCUCCCUUAAGCUCUACAGGUGAGGAGUGACGUCAUCAUUGUUUUUCGUGUCUCGUAUAAAAGUGAAAGCAAAUGUUCAGAGUUAAUGUUUCUCAAUUUAAACAGCCAGAAUCGAUUCUAUACGGAAUAUUAAAGUGUUUCAUAGGAACUAAGUCAUGAUUUUCGUGUAGCUGCUUCAUAGAAAGGCGGUGGAUUUUGUGAAUCUGUGUAAAUAAGAGUCAGUGCUGCAGAUCAGAUUCUGUUUCAUCAUGGAGGACACACAAACAUCCACAGAACAAGAGUUUUCUCUAGGAUGCAGUUCAGUUCAUCAGAGGAGAUCAGGAGCAGAGUCCAGCUGUGUGUCUGUGAGGAGUGAUGUGUCUAUGGAUCAUCCAGUACAGUUUAAGAGUGGAGAUACAAAGACUGAUCUCAGUUCAGCUCAUCAGAAGAGAUCAGAAGCAGAGUCCA